rnacentral:lncRNA from 1 species
AAAUUUUCUGUGUAACUGAAAAAUAUUUAUGUUAAAUUGAAAACUAUAUAUACAAGCGAAGGAGAACAUGAAUCAUGGUAAAUCAUUUACUUUUAAAAUAAUUAAAUCCUAAAGAUAUAUUGUUGAAACCCACCAAUUUAUUUACACAUUUUGAUAUGAUUCAAACUAAAUAACCUCGAUAUACGGCUCUCUUUGUUGAGGAAGCAACUAAAUAUGUCGAUAUGAAACUAAUUCUACCUCCUUCUCCACCAUUUAUUAUGAAUGUUUGCUUGUCCCCAAGGCAUUGGUUGUAGCAACAAAAAUAAAAGAAAUUAUUAUAUACUAUAAAUGCAUACAAAAGAAAUUGUAGAGUCGAAAAAAGAAAAAAGAACAUCCACCUUCCCCAUUGCCUUUGUUUCAAUCAACAACUUCCUUUGCUAUGAAAUCCCUAGCUAACUCUUGCAUUCACAUAAGCUUAGAAAUCAAUGGCCUUGAACCAAUGUACUCCCGCCCCUUUUCCUCUCCAAAGACCAUCACUACAAUUAUAAAGUGGAAGGAGAACGUGAAACACUAUUUGAAGAGAGUGGAGAGAAGGUAGAGGGUGUUUGAAGAGUGUGAAAAAAU